GUGAGGAAUAUUGCGCAAUGGAGGCAACUCUGACGCAGCCAUGCCGCGUGCAGGAAGAAGGCGCUACGCGUUGUAAACUGCUUUUAACCGGGAAGAAACCCCAGGACGUGUCCUGGGUUGACGGUACCGGAGGAAUAAGCACCGGCUAACUUCGUGCCAGCAGCCGCGGUAAUACGAAGGGUGCAAGCGUUAUCCGGAUUCAUUGGGUUUAAAGGGUGCGUAGGCGGAGCGUUAAGUCAGUGGUGAAAUCCUGCAGCUUAACUGUAGACUUGCCAUUGAGACUGGCGCUCUUGAGUGCGCUUGAAGUGGGCGGAAUGUGCCGUGUAGCGGUGAAAUGCUUAGAUAUGGCACAGAACACCAAUUGCGAAGGCAGCUCACUAAGGCGAUACUGACGCUGAGGCACGAAAGCGUGGGGAUCGAACAGGAUUAGAUACCCCAGUAGUCC
rnacentral:rRNA from 1 species